rnacentral:lncRNA from 1 species
UAACACGUAUACUGUAACUAUUCACCAGCCUAGACUCUUCUACAUAUCCUUAAUAUACUCUCAAUUACAUAGCAACCAAUAGAUAUACAAAUUCAGUUACCAAAAUAUAGCAAAAUAAUUGAUCAGCAAUUUCAGUAGUAAACAUAAAUAGGAACACAACAAUCAAUAGUAAAAUCUUGUCAGAAUCCUGCACCUAAUUAUAAAUUAUUAAACAUUACAGUUUUAGUAUCUUAGAAAGAUUAAACUACAUUUGUAAUCACUUACGCAAUUACCUAAUUUCCAUCUAAAUCUUGUUCGUGAAAUUAUCUCUAAUGUACAAGAUCAACCUGUUAUAGUGAUAUUCAUAUCAGGUUAGUAAUGAAUUGGUUAUCCCCAAAUUUCAAACAUCCAUGUCCAGACUUAUUCUUAAUUCUAAACUGGAUAAAUAAUUUAUUGUAUUAAAAUUAAAUAGGAUUAAUUAACCCUAAAUAUAAAAUGGUAAACCAUCAGGGUUUUUUGAACACAUCUACCCGAAUUGGGUUCCUAGGACUCACUGUGUGGAACCAAUGGAAGUUUGUGCGCCUCCACACGCACCUCUAAAAGAUCACCAUGCAUCAUUGCUCUUUGCCAUUGAUAACCACUAUGGAUUGGCUGAAAUUCACCGUUUAGCACUUCGCGCCCUUUGAUUCGACACAACUCUGGUGGAAUUGCGCCGAAGGGAGCCACAGAAUAGCAAAACACAUGCCGAACUGCCAACAUAUCAUCUUCUUCUCAUGCGCACCAUUGUGCGCAACACUGGCCUCUCCUCUAUCUUUUUCUUCUUCUUCUUCUUCCCCUCCUCUUUCGUCUGCCGAUUGAUGGUAACCGUAGCCCUUCUCUACCUUCCUCUCUCUCUGUCUCUCUCUCUUUCUUUCUCUGUCUCUCUCUCUUUCUCGCUCUCUUCCUGCACUGAUUUCCUUCCCUCCCUUCGCAUUUUAUAGGAGGGGUAAAAAGAGUCCUGCACGACUCUUCUUCCUCAGUGUGUAGGUCUCCUCUUCUUUUUUUUUACCGGUGGCAGAGACAUACACACCUCUGCCUCUUCACCUUUCUCGACCAAAGGUAAACACGCAUCUAUUUUUUUUUAUGCCUAAAAUGGCACCGUUUUAGGGUCUCCCAAAAUGACGUCGUUUUAGUCUCUUAUAUAGAUGAUCGUUGUUUGGCCACUCACACAACCCAUCACAACAUUCAAUUUUUUGGACGGUUUGUCCAGGUAAGUAAAUAAGCGGUAUUAUAUUCAAUAUCUUGGUGUCACACCCAUUUCUGCCGCAAGUUGGCCAUCCACUUAUGCAACACAUUUAAUAACCUACAGUAGGUUAAUGCAUUACACAGUAAAGAAAAUCAGCAGAUAAUGUGUAACAGCC